UACGUAGGUGGCAAGCGUUUGUCCGGAUUUACUGGGCGUAAAGAGCGCGCAGGCGGUCGUAUAAGUCGAAUGUGAAAGCCCCCCGGCUCAACUGGGGAGGGUCACGCGAUACUGAUCGACUCGAAGGCAGGAGAGGGUAGUGGAAUUCCCGGUGUAGUGGUGAAAUGCGUAGAUAUCGGGAGGAACACCAGUGGCGAAGGCGACUACCUGGCCUGUUUCUUGACGCUGAGGCGCGAAAGCUAGGGGAGCAAACGGGG
rnacentral:rRNA from 1 species